UAGUCCACGCCGUAAACGAUGAAUACUAGGUGUCGGGGGUCGAACCUCGGUGCCGCAGCUAACGCAUUAAGUAUUCCACCUGGGGAGUACGAUCGCAAGAUUGAAACUCAAAGGAAUUGACGGGGGCCCGCACAAGCGGUGGAGCAUGUGGUUUAAUUCGAAGCAACGCGAAGAACCUUACCAAAUCUUGACAUCCCGAUGACCGGCAUUUAAUUUUGCCUUUUCUUCGGAACAUCGGUGACAGGUGGUGCAUGGUUGUCGUCAGCUCGUGUCGUGAGAUGUUGGGUUAAGUCCCGCAACGAGCGCAACCCUUACUUUUAGUAGCCAGCAUGUAAUGGUGGGGACUCUAGAGGGACUGCCGCGGAUAACGCGGAGGAAGGUGGGGAUGACGUCAAAUCAUCAUGCCCCUUAUGAUUUGGGCUACACACGUGCUACAAUGGUUGUGACAAUGGGUUAAUCCCCAAAAGCUAUCUCAGUUCGGAUUGUCGUCUGCAACUCGACGGCAUGAAGUCGG
rnacentral:rRNA from 1 species